rnacentral:rRNA from 1 species
UACGUAGGGGGCAAGCGUUGUCCGGAAUCAUUGGGCGUAAAGCGCGUGUAGGCGGCCCGGUAAGUCCGCUGUGAAAGUCCAGGGCUCAACCCUGGGAUGCCGGUGGAUACUGUCGGGCUCGAGUCCGGAAGAGGAGUGUGGAAUUCCUGGUGUAGCGGUGAAAUGCGCAGAUAUCAGGAGGAACACCAAUGGCGAAGGCAGCACUCUGGGACGUGACUGACGCUGAGGCACGAAAGCGUGGGGAGCAAACAGG